ACCUCCCGGGAAGUCCUCGUGUUGCAUCCC
rnacentral:snRNA from 1 species